CUUAAGCAUAUCAAUAAGCGGAGGAAAAGAAACUAACAAGGAUUCCCCUAGUAACUGCGAGUGAAGAGGGAAGAGCUCAAAUUUAAAAUCUGGCUGUUCUAGUUAGCAGUCCGAGUUGUAGUUUAGAGAAGUGCUAUCCGCGUUGGCCUGUGCAUAAGUUUCUUGGAAAAGAACAUCAUAGAGGGUGACAAUCCCGUCUUUGGCACAGAUCACCAAGGCUUUUGUGAUACGCUCUCAACGAGUCGUGUUGUUUGGGAAUGCAGCACUAAAUGGGUGGUAAAUUCCAUCUAAAGCUAAAUAUUGGCGAGAGACCGAUAGCGAACAAGUACCGUGAGGGAAAGAUGAAAAGAACUUUGAAAAGAGAGUUAAACAGUACGUGAAAUUGUUGAAAGGGAAACGCUUGAAGUCAGUCGCGUCUUUCAGGGAUCAAGUUGCCUUUAGGUGACCGCACUUCCUGUUGGAUGGGUCAGCAUCAAUUUUGACCGUUGGAUAAAGGCCUGGGUAAUGUGGCAUCUUCGGAUGUGUUAUAGACCUGGGUUGUAUACAACGAUUGGGAUUGAGGAACUCAGUGUUCGCACUUAGGAUGCUGGCAUAAUGGCUUUAAUCGACCCGUCUUGAAACACGGACCAAGGAGUCUAACAUGCCUGCGAGUGU
rnacentral:rRNA from 1 species